rnacentral:rRNA from 1 species
GCCAGACUCCUACGGGAGGCAGCAGUGGGGAAUAUUGCACAAUGGGGGAAACCCUGAUGCAGCGACGCCGCGUGAGUGAAGAAGUAUUUCGGUAUGUAAAGCUCUAUCAGCAGGAACGAGACAAGACGGUACCUGACUAAGAAGCCCCGGCUAACUACGUGCCAGCAGCCGCGGUAAUACGUAGGGGGCAAGCGUUAUCCGGAAUCACUGGGUGUAAAGGGAGCGUAGACGGCUGUGCAAGCCUGAAGUGAAAGGCGGGGGCCCAACCCCUGGACUGCUUUGGGAACUGUACGGCUGGAGUGCAGGAGAGGUAAGUGGAAUUCCUAGUGUAGCGGUGAAAUGCGUAGAUAUUAGGAGGAACACCAGUGGCGAAGGCGGAUUGCUGGACAGUAACUGACGCUGAGGCGCGAAAGCGUGGGGAGCAAACAGGAUUAGAUACCCCAGUACUC